GGUAGGGUGGCUGAAUGCUUAGGCGGCAGGUUGUAGCCCUGAGGACAAAGGUUUAAUUCCUUUCCCUAUCA